GAUAUCAACUGAAAAAGUCAUCAACAACAAAGUUGAAUAACUCAUCAAGAUCUAAAACUUUUAUUUUGGUCAUUUCUUCAUACGACAAAGUGAUAGUAACAUUGUUCACAAAAUUGACAUAUCUAUUAUCUGGUUUUAUAAACUAUAACACAUAUAUGUAAAAUUUGUGAAUAAUAUUACUAACAUUUCGUCGGAUGAAGAAAUAACAAAAAUAAAAGUUUUAGAUCUUGAUGAGUUAUUCAACUUUGUUGUUGAUGACUUUUUCAAUUGAAAUC
rnacentral:pre_miRNA from 1 species